rnacentral:hammerhead_ribozyme from 1 species
AUCUAGCUGAUGAGUCUCAAAUAAGGCGAAACGCUCGUCCUAGAU